rnacentral:rRNA from 1 species
AUGACAGUCAGGAAAAGGGAAAAGGGGACCUUCGAACUUCGAAGAAUGUCGCCGAUGUGGAGGAUGCGUUUCGCUGGCGCUCUAGGGGCAGAAAACGUCUCCACCAUCCUCAUACUAAAGAUGGAUCAAAGCUGGUUGCGAGGCGAAAUCCAUGCCCACAUCACCUGCACGGACGUCGAGAGCAACAACACCGUGCAGAUGGAUGAUCUCGCCUACUCCCUUGCGCAGCUCCACCUUGGGCCCUGCUACCCCUCCAUCGCUGUUUACCAGCCUAGACCGAAGAGGCGUACGUGGAGACAAACCAGCCACCGUUGA